rnacentral:rRNA from 1 species
UACAGAGGUCCCAAGCGUUGUUCGGAUUCACUGGGCGUAAAGGGUGCGUAGGCGGUCGGGUAAGCCUGAUGUGAAAUCUCACAGCUUAACUGUGAAACUGCAUUGGAUACUAUCCGGCUAGAGGAAUGGAGGGGAGACUGGAAUACUUGGUGUAGCAGUGAAAUGCGUAGAUAUCAGGAGGAACACCGAUGGCGAAGGCAGGUCUCUGGGCCACUACUGACGCUGAGAAGCGAAAGCGUGGGGAGCGAACAGG